rnacentral:rRNA from 1 species
UACGUAGGGUGCAAGCGUUAAUCGGAAUUACUGGGCGUAAAGCGUGCGCAGGCGGUUCCAUAAGACAGAUGUGAAAUCCCCGGGGCCAACCUGGGAACUGCAUUUGUGACUGUGGGGCUAGAGUACGGUAGAGGGGGGUGGAAUUCCCCGUGUAGCAGUGAAAUGCGUAGAUAUGCGGAGGAACACCAAUGGCGAAGGCAAUCCCCUGGACCUGUACUGGCGCUCAUGCACGAAAGCGUGGGGAGCAAACAGG